rnacentral:rRNA from 1 species
GGUUUGUAGCAAUACAGACUGAUGGCGAGUGGCGGACGGGUGAGUAAUGCGUAGGAAUCUGCCCUGAAGAGUGGGACAACCCGAGGAAACUCGGGCUAAUACCGCAUAAUACUUUGAGAAGGAGAGGCUGGGAGCAAUCCUGGCGCUUUAGGAGGAGCCUGCGUCCGAUUAGCUAGUUGGUUAGGUAAGAGCUGACCAAGGCGAUGAUCGGUAGCUGGUCUGAGAGGAUGAUCAGCCACACUGGGACUGAGACACGGCCCAGACUCCUACGGGAGGCAGCAGUGGGGAAUAUUGGACAAUGGGGGCAACCCUGAUCCAGCAAUGCCGCGUGUGUGAAGAAGGCCUUCGGGUUGUAAAGCACUUUAGUUGGGGAAGAAGUCAUGUAGUUUAAGAGAUGACAUGAUUGACGGUACCCAAAGAAUAAGCACCGGCUAACUCUGUGCCAGCAGCCGCGGUAAUACAGAGGGUGCGAGCGUUAAUCGGAAUUACUGGGCGUAAAGGGCGCGUAGGUUGUUGCGUAAGUGAGAUGUGAAAUCCCCGGGCUUAACCUGGGAACUGCAUCUUAUACUGCGUGACUAGAGUACGGUAGAGGGUAGUGGAAUUUCCGGUGUAGCGGUGAAAUGCGUANAUAUCGGAAGGAACACCAGUGGCGAAGGCGGCUACCUGGACUGAUACUGACACUGAGGCGCGAGAGCGUGGGUAGCGAACAGGAUUAGAUACCCUGGUAGUCCACGCUGUAAACGAUGAGAACUAGAUGUUGGCAGGCUUAGACCUGUUAGUAUCGAAGCUAACGCGAUAAG